rnacentral:rRNA from 1 species
UACAGAGUGCUCAGCGUUGUUCGGAUUCAUUGGGCGUAAAGGGCGCGUGAGGCUGGCGCGGUAGUCGGUAGUCGGAAAUCGUCGGGCUUAACUCCGAAACUGGCAUUCGUAUACGUGCCGUGAGCUUGAGGACUGGAGAGGAGACGUAGGAAUUCAUGGUGUAGCAGUGAAAGUGGCGUAGAGAUCAAGUGGAUGGAAGACCAGUGGGCGAAGGCUGGGUCUCGUGGACGAGUUCAUGACACUGGAGGCAACGGAAUGGCCAGGGGAGCAAACGG